rnacentral:rRNA from 1 species
GACAGAGGUCCCGAGCGUUAGGCGGAAUCACUGGGCUUAAAGCGUGUGUAGGCGGAUCGUUAAGUGCCUUGUGAAAUCCCAUGGCUUAACCAUGGAACUGCUUGGCAUACUGGCGAUCUUGAGCCACUUAGGGGCAACCGGAACAAAUGGUGGAGCGGUGAAAUGCGUAGAUAUCAGGAGGAACACCAAUUGCGAAGGCAGCUCGCUGGGACGUUACUGACGCUGAGGCGCGAAAGCGUGGGGAGCGAACAGG